UCAUCCCUCCCACCCCCCACUGCCAACUAUCCACUGCCCACCUCUUCCUCUUUUAUCUACUGCCAUCCGCCACUACCUAUUGCUGCUGCAGCGACACAACCACCAACCACCAGAUCUGCUACAACGUCGUCGUAGUCGAGGCGGCGACCUCGUCUCCAGUCACGCACACAAAAAACACAGAUCUCUCUCCCUCUCCCUCCCCAUCUCUCUCGCCAGAAACGCGACUACUGCCUCCCCUCUAAAAGCCCCGUCCUUAUUCUUCCAUUUUGUUUCUUCUCUAUUCAUCGCAGAUCCACAUCACCUCCGAUUUCGAUACUCCAAUCUGGAGAUGGUAUUGGUGGAGGUUCAGUGAUUUUUGUUUUUACGGUGGUGAUUUCAUUUUGUUGAUGGUGUUUGUUUGUGGUAAUAUAGUAAUUUUUGUUAUGGUCGGAGUUAAUGAUGGAUAUGGGGCAGAAAUAGAGAUUGGAUGUAGUGAAUGAGAGAGAGCGUGUGAUGUAGAGAGAGAGAGAGAGGAGAUUGAGAGAGACAGUGAGGAAGCUGAUGAAUUGGAAAUGAUGAUUUUCUGUUGUGUUUUUUAUUUUUUCCGAAGGUGAUUUUGUUUUGUAUUUGGUGAUUUUUCGGAUUCGGGGGUGGCGGUGGUGGUUUGUAGCUGGUGUUGGUGUGGUGAUUUUAAUUUUCUGGCGUUGAUUUUUGAUUUUCUGGCGGUGAUUUCUUAUUUUCUGGUGGUGAUUUUAUGUUUCCGAUGGUGAUUUUAUGUUUGCCGGCGGUGAUUUUCUGGUGGUCGCCGGAGCUGGUGGUGGUGGUCAGCGGUGGUUGAAGGUGAUGGGUAGUUGAAUUAGAAGAUGGUGAAAUAUUAAAAUAUUAAAUGAAUGGUGAGAGAUGAAUAUAAUGUAUUUAAAUGAGUGGCUGAGAUUAGAUCUCAUAUCUCACUAUAAGAUUGGUUCUCACCGGAGCAUGACUCUAUAUAUA
rnacentral:lncRNA from 1 species